rnacentral:lncRNA from 1 species
GUGAGUGUGCAACGUUGGGGGGCAUGGCCGGCCACACACUUUCCUUAAUGGGAAACAUUGCUCACUUCCAGACUUCCAGAGGCUGGCACCAGGGACUCGAUUGUCACUGAAGUCUAUAAAGAAAUAUGCACAAGCAGCAUCAUUCAGCAGGAUUUCAGACCAGAAAGAACCCUCCCGUCAGAGACUGGUGGCCAUACAAGGGUGCGCUGUGAAGCUUUCGAGACAGCAGACAGCCGGAGUCGUGAUCAGGGUGGCCAGGAAGGGAAACAACACGGUAGCAACCAGAGUGCCCUCCCAUGUGGAUUCCUUUGGUGACGAAUAAGCCAGUUGGUGUGCAGGGUGUUCACUGCAAGGCCCAGACAGGACUACAAGAGACCAGGACUGUCCUCAGUAUGUGAUCUCUCUCUCCUCUGGCGUCAGCUCUACCCAGGAACGGAUGUGAAGGCUGAAGCCCAGGCAAGGGCUCAUAGUGUGGGGACCGUGCAGCUGGAUUCAUGUCCAGUGGAAUUUGACACCAUGGCCGUCAUCAUCAUGUUUUGCCGUCAUCAGCACAGACCUCUGAGCAGAAAUGCCAGAACAAUGUGGGGCCACCCUGGAGAUUUAUUUUAUUUAUUUUUUAAAUUAAAUUAAAAUUGUUUUUAAGAGACGGGGUCUUGCUAUGUUGCACAGGUUGAUCUUGAACUUCUGGGCUCAAGCAAUCCUCCUGUCUUGGCCUCAGAGUGUUGGGAUUACAGACCUAAGCCACCGCGCCCGGCCUGGAGAUGUAUUUUAAACUGACAUCUUGGGAGAAAUAAAAGCCUUCCUUUUCCCUGUGUGUCGGUAGCGUAAGUAGUGAACUGGGAAGGAUUUCUCGGGGCCCCUGCCCUGAGCUCCUAGACCUUCUCUCCCACGCCAUGUUACACAACAAAAUCUGACUCUGAAAGAUCAAUUGGGUCCAGCUUGGGGUCUGAUGGGCAGACGGGCUUAAGCAAAGCCCCCACUUGACUUCAAGAGAGGAGCUUGGGGCCCACAUAGACAUCGAGGCCUGCACAACGUAGCUAAUUGGCCCUAACAUUUUUCUUUCUUGAAUUUUAAAUCCUUUUAGCAACAGAUUAUACAACAAAGGCUGAACUCAUUGGGGCCGUCAUUAGGCUGGCGGAAAACGCUGGCUUGGCUGUUCCUUGGCGAAUCUCCUUACCGGGUUAUUUAGAGGUGCCGUGUGUCUCUCUUGGGGACAUGCACACAAAUGUAAAGAAUGUCUCUGAGCCACAAUGACAUUUUCAUUAGCCGUGGCUCACAGAGGAGCCUUUCCUGGCAGUUCCAAUCCGGAAGGUUCUUAUCCUGCUCUCUGGCUUUCUUGCUCUGGGUGAAAGGCAGGCACCGUAAUCCAAGCCAAACACCCCGACCUUUGACCCCCACAUGGUGCUUGCUGUCAGGGUGGGGGUUCUUCUGGGGUGCAUGUCUGAGGCCUGACUGGGCUGCACACUGUCCCAGAGUGCCCUGCCUUUGGCCAGGACAAUUCACCUCAGCCCCUUUUGUCCCAACAGCUUUUGAUCUUGCCUGCCUGUCACCCAGGGAAAGAGCCUGCCUAGGCCCUGUCCCACACCUGCCUGCAAACUGACAGCCAUGGCUCCCCCAGCCCCACUGCAGCAGCCUUAACCCUUUCUCUGCCUGACCUGCAGGGCCUGCACCUACCUGUCUCCAGGGUGCUGGGGCCUCAGGCUUUGGCCAAACCAGAACAGGACUAGAAAAGAAUUCUUCUGAGGGUCCAAGGCCUCGUCCUACCGCCCCUACUGUGAGUGUGGGACUGACAAAGGAGUUUGGAGAGCAUGAGUCCCCUAGAAUGGAGCUCCCAGGAAAAGCCAAAGAGAAAGCCCCAGGCCACUGGGCCUGGACUUCGCCCCACGGCAAGGUCCCCGCCCACUGGCUAGGCAGGUGCUUUUGUGAAACUGACAUUUUCUCAGCUGCACCUCUACCGCUGCUGAUGAGCUUUUCAAUACACUCUUUCUUGUAUUGAGACAGAGCCAUGUUUUCAUAACUUGGCACUACAGCAAAGAAAGACAUGGGGUCCUUGCUGCUCAGUCCUGGUGCCCGGCCCAGUGUCUGGGGUGCCCACCUUGCCCAGCGUGUGCUGGGCAUGCAGGGGCACUUCCCUAGGGCCAAAACCUGGGAGCUUUCCUCCAGGCCAAGACGCAAGUCUCUUUGUUUUUACGGUAGCUUUGUUGAAAUGUAAUUUACAUACCAUGAAAUUCACCCGUUGAAGGCAUGCAAUUUAGAAGGUUUUAUUCAUAGAGUUGUAUGAAUUCUCUAUUUCCCAAGGCCAUUUUUUUAAAUAUAAG